rnacentral:rRNA from 1 species
CCUACGGGUGGCUGCAGUGGGGAAUAUUGGGCAAUGGGCGAAAGCCUGACCCAGCAACGCCGCGUGAAGGAAUGAGGCUUUCGGGUUGUAAACUUCUUUUGACAGGGAAGAGCAGUAGACGGUACCUGUCGAAUAAGCCACGGCUAACUACGUGCCAGCAGCCGCGGUAAUACGUAGGUGGCACGCGUUGUCCGGAUGUACUGGGUGUAAAGGGCGUGUAGCCGGGCUGACAAGUCAGAUGUGAAAUCCGGGGGCUCAACCCCCGAACUGCACAUGAAACUGUUGGUCUUGAGUAUCGGAGAGGGAGGCGGAAUUCUCGGUGUAGCGGUGAAAUGCGUAGAUAUCAGGAGGAACACUCGUGGCGAAGGCGGCCUGCUGGACGACAACUGACGGUGAGGCGCGAAAGCGUGGGGAGCAAACAGGAUUAGAUACCCGAGUAGUC